rnacentral:piRNA from 1 species
UAAAGUCUUUUUUACUGUAAGGUGUCA